CGCGGCCUAUCAGCUUGUUGGUGAGGUAACGGCCCACCAAGGCGACGACGGGUAGCUGGUCUGAGAGGACGGCCAGCCACACUGGGACUGAAACACGGCCCAGACCCCUACGGGAGGCAGCAGUGGGGAAUCUUGCGCAAUGGGCGAAAGCCUGACGCAGCGACGCCGCGUGGGGGAUGAAGGCCCUCGGGUUGUAAACCCCUUUCGGCAGGGACGAAGCCGCAAGGUGACGGUACCUGCAGAAGAAGCUCCGGCUAACUACGUGCCAGCAGCCGCGGUAAUACAUAGGGUGCAAGCGUUGUCCGGAAUUAUUGGGCGUAAAGAGCUCGUAGGUGGUUCGUCACGUCGGAUGUGAAACUCUGGGGCUUAACCCCAGACCUGCAUUCGAUACGGGCGAGCUUGAGUAUGGUAGGGGAGUCUGGAAUUCCUGGUGUAGCGGUGGAAUGCGCAGAUAUCUGGAGGAACUCCAAUGGCGAAGGCAGGACUCUGGGCCAUUACUGACACUGAUGAGCGAUGUCGUGGUGUGCUAACCGGAUUAUAUACCCUGGUAGACCACGCCGUAAACGGAGGGUACUACUUGUGGGGAGCUCUCCACGGUCUCAGCGACGCUCAUUAAUGCUUGCUGUGCCCCCCCUGCUCAGUAUAGACUCAAUAACUGUCACGUGCCG
rnacentral:rRNA from 1 species